GUACAGUCCAGUCCAGAUUCCUUUCAGAGGUACGCUGUACAGUCCAGUCCAGAUUCCUUUCAGAGGUACGCUGUACAGUCCAGUCCAGAUUCCUUUCAGAGGUACGCUGUACAGUCCAGUCCAGAUUCCUUUCAGAGGUACGCUGUACAGUACAGAUUCCACCUGCGAUCUAUAUAUGGCGUGUCUCCUAUCCUACUGUACCUCUGUAACUGACAUCGGUGUGCUGCUAACAGCUUUGCUUCCUCCACUGUCCCUGUCCCCUUAUUAGGCUCGAACCAGUGGUCUUCUGAUCACAAACACACGUGACCACCCUCUUGGACAACUUACCAACCAGUGGUGCUGUAGAAAAGGAUCCGAAUUGGAUAGCACCAUUGGUAUCGUUUCAAGCUAGCUGUGAAGUGAGCUAAU
rnacentral:lncRNA from 1 species